rnacentral:rRNA from 1 species
GAUGAACGCUGGCGGCGUGCCUAAUACAUGCAAGUCGAGCGAACAGACGAGGAGCUUGCUCCUCUGACGUUAGCGGCGGACGGGUGAGUAACACGUGGAUAACCUACCUAUAAUUCUGGGAUAACUUCGGGAAACCGGAGCUAAUACCGGAUAAUAUAUUGAACCGCAUGGUUCAAUAGUGAAAGACGGUUUUGCUGUCUCUUAUAGAUGGAUCCGCGCCGCAUUAGCUAGUUGGUAAGGUAACGGCUUACCAAGGCAACGAUGCGUAGCCGACCUGAGAGGGUGAUCGGCCACACUGGAACUGAGACACGGUCCAGACUCCUACGGGAGGCAGCAGUAGGGAAUCUUCCGCAAUGGGCGAAAGCCUGACGGAGCAACGCCGCGUGAGUGAUGAAGGUCUUCGGAUCGUAAAACUCUGUUAUUAGGGAAGAACAAAUGUGUAAGUAACUAUGCACGUCUUGACGGUACCUAAUCAGAAAGCAACGGCUAACUACGUG